ensembl:snRNA U5 U5 spliceosomal RNA
AAAUUCUGGUUUCUCUUCAUAUUGUAUAAAUCUUUUGCCUUUUACUAAAGAUUUCCAUGAAGAGGAAUGUUUAUGAGUUUGUAUUCAAUUUUUUGAGGCUUCACUCUGGUGAAGCU